rnacentral:rRNA from 1 species
GACAGAGGGUGCAAACGUUGUUCGGAAUUACUGGGCGUAAAGCGCGUGUAGGCGGCUCGGCAAGUCGGGUGUGAAAUCCCCGGGCUUAACCUGGGAAUGGCAUUUGGGACUGCAAGGCUCGAGUGCGGCAGAGGAGACUGGAGUUCCUGGUGUAGCAGUGAAAUGCGUAGAUAUCAGGAGGAACACCGAUGGCGAAGGCAGGUCUCUGGGCUGACACUGACGCUCAUGCACGAAAGCGUGGGGAGCAAACAGG